ACUCAAAGGAAUUGACGGGGGCCCGCACAAGCGGUGGAGUAUGUGGUUUAAUUCGAAGCAACGCGCAGAACCUUACCUGGGUUUGACAUCCAGUGACCGCUGCAGAGAUGCAGUUUUCUCUUCGGAGACACUGAGACAGGUGCUGCAUGGCUGUCGUCAGCUCGUGUCGUAAGAUGUUGGGUUAAGUCCCGCAACGAGCGCAACCCUUGUCUUUAGUUGCCCUUAUUAAGUUAGGAACUCUAAAGAGACUGCCGGUGUUAAACCGGAGGAAGGCGGGGAUGACGUCAAGUCCUCAUGGCCCUUACAUCCAGGGCUACACACGUACUACAAUGGCAGAAACAGACCGUUGCGAAGCCGCGAGGUGGAGCUAAUCGGAAAAACACUGCCACAGUUCGGAUUGAAGUCUGCAACUCGACUUCAUGAAGUUGGAAUCGCUAGUAAUCGCAGAUCAGCACGCUGCGGUGAAUACGUUCCCGGGCCUUGCACACACCGCCCGU
rnacentral:rRNA from 1 species